GAUGAACGCUAGCUACAGGCUUAACACAUGCAAGUCGAGGGGCAUCAGGAAGAAAGCUUGCUUUCUUUGCUGGCGACCGGCGCACGGGUGAGUAACACGUAUCCAACCUGCCCUUUACUCGGGGAUGGCCUUUCGAAAGAAAGAUUAAUACCCGAUGGCAUAAUGAUUCCGCAUGGUUUCAUUAUUAAAGGAUUCCGGUAAAGGAUGGGGAUGCGUUCCAUUAGGUUGUUGGUGAGGUAACGGCUCACCAAGCCUUCGAUGGAUAGGGGUUCUGAGAGGAAGGUCCCCCACAUUGGAACUGAGACACGGUCCAAACUCCUACGGGAGGCAGCAGUGAGGAAUAUUGGUCAAUGGGCGCUAGCCUGAACCAGCCAAGUAGCGUGAAGGAUGAAGGCUCUAUGGGUCGUAAACUUCUUUUAUAUAAGAAUAAAGUGCAGUAUGUAUACUGUUUUGUAUGUAUUAUAUGAAUAAGGAUCGGCUAACUCCGUGCCAGCAGCCGCGGUAAUACGGAGGAUCCGAGCGUUAUCCGGAUUUAUUGGGUUUAAAGGGAGCGUAGGUGGACUGGUAAGUCAGUUGUGAAAGUUUGCGGCUCAACCGUAAAAUUGCAGUUGAUACUGUCAGUCUUGAGUACAGUAGAGGUGGGCGGAAUUCGUGGUGUAGCGGUGAAAUGCUUAGAUAUCACGAAGAACUCCGAUUGCGAAGGCAGCUCACUGGACUGCAACUGACACUGAUGCUCAAAGGUGUGGGUAUCAAGCAGG
rnacentral:rRNA from 1 species